rnacentral:tRNA from 1 species
UCCCUUGUAGCUCAGUUGGUAAAGAAUCUGCCUACAAUGCAGGAGACCUGGGUUCGAUUCCUGGGUUGGGAA